AUCGGCCUACGGGAGGCAGCAGUGGGGAAUAUUGCACAAUGGGGGAAACCCUGAUGCAGCGACGCCGCGUGAGUGAAGAAGUAUCUCGGUAUGUAAAGCUCUAUCAGCAGGAAAGAUAAUGACGGUACCUGACUAAGAAGCCCCGGCUAACUACGUGCCAGCAGCCGCGGUAAUACGUAGGGGGCAAGCGUUAUCCGGAUUUACUGGGUGUAAAGGGAGCGUAGACGGCAGUGCAAGUCUGGAGUGAAAGGCGGGGGCUCAACCCCCGGACUGCUCUGGAAACUGUACGGCUGGAGUGCAGGAGG
rnacentral:rRNA from 1 species